CUGACUUGCCGAGCACAAAAGGAUCACAGGACACAAAACAAUUCCAACCUACGAGAGCAUUCACUUGUAGUUGGCAGAAGUUGAAAAAACAAACAAACAGGUACCUGAGAACUUUCAGUUCCGUAUUUUUGCGCACUAUAAGUCGCUCAGAAGUACAAGUCUUACCAGCCAUAAAAUGCAUAUCAAAGAGGAAAAAGACAUACACAUAUAAGUUGCACUGGAGUAUAAGUUGCAUUUUUGGGGGAAAUUUAUUUGAUAAAAUCCAACACCAAGAACAGACAUGUCAUCUUGAAAGGCAAUUUAAAAUAAAAAUAGAAUAGAGGCAACAACAGGCUGAUACGAUAUGCCAACGUUACAUGACACAAACAACGAACUGAGAAUGUGCCUGACGUAACAUAUUAAGAGUUUUUCAGAUAACUAUAGC